AUUGAACGCUGGCGGCAUGCCUUACACAUGCAAGUCGAACGGCAGCGGGGGAGAAGCUUGCUUUUCCUGCCGGCGAGUGGCGAACGGGUGAGUAAUACAUCGGAACGUGCCCUGUAGUGGGGGAUAACUAGUCGAAAGAUUAGCUAAUACCGCAUACGACCUGAGGGUGAAAGUGGGGGACCGCAAGGCCUCAUGCUAUAGGAGCGGCCGAUGUCUGAUUAGCUAGUUGGUGGGGUAAAGGCCUACCAAGGCGACGAUCAGUAGCUGGUCUGAAAGGACGAUCAGCCACACUGGGACUGAGACACGGCCCAGACUCCUACGGGAGGCAGCAGUGGGGAAUUUUGGACAAUGGGCGAAAGCCUGAUCCAGCAAUGCCGCGUGUGUGAAGAAGGCCUUCGGGUUGUAAAGCACAUUUGUCCGGAAAGAAAUGGCUCUGGUUAAUACCUGGGGUCGAUGACGGUACCGGAAGAAUAAGGACCGGCUAACUACGUGCCAGCAGCCGCCGUAA
rnacentral:rRNA from 1 species